AGAAACAAAAAAUGUUAUUUGCUCUAGUUAUUAACUAUUCAAUUGUCUGCUUGUUUUUCAGGGUAAGAUAAAACACUGGUCACCUGAACAAAGAAUCAGGGCAAUGGUAAAGUGGAUAAGGAAUGUCACAGGAAUGCAUCCUUGUUACAGAUUUUCCAGGAAGGUUCUUUGGCUAAAGAGAGACAGCCAGGUUCAUAAUGGAUAUAAGGACGUUUUGGGGGUUUUUUUAAACAAAGG